GAUGAACGCUGGCGGCGUGCUUAACACAUGCAAGUCGAACGAAGAGGUAUUGAAUGAGAGCUUCGGCAGGACUUUGAUAAAUCUUAGUGGCGGACGGGUGAGUAACGUGUGGGCAACCUGCCUUAUACUGGGGAAUAAUCACUGGAAACGGUGACUAAUACCGCAUAAUGUCUUUUUACGGCAUCGUAAGAAGAAGAAAGGAGCAAUCCGGUAAAAGAUGGGCCCGCAUCUGAUUAGCUAGUUGGUGAGAUAACAGCCCACCAAGGCGACGAUCAGUAGCCGACCUGAGAGGGUGAUCGGCCACAUUGGGACUGAGACACGGCCCAAACUCCUACGGGAGGCAGCAGUGGGGAAUAUUGCACAAUGGGGGAAACCCUGAUGCAGCAACGCCGCGUGAAGGAAGAAGGUUUUCGGAUCGUAAACUUCUAUCAACAGGGACGAAGAAAGUGACGGUACCUGAAUAAGAAGCCCCGGCUAACUACGUG
rnacentral:rRNA from 1 species